rnacentral:rRNA from 1 species
AGUGAACGCUGGCGGCAGGCCUAACACAUGCAAGUCGAACGGAAGGACAGUAAGAGUUUGCUCUUACGGGUGGCGAGUGGCGGACGGGUGAGGAGUACAUCGGAAUCUUCUAUUUCGGGGGGGAUAACGUAGGGAAGCUUACGCUAAUACCGCAUAUGAUCUACGGGUGAAAGCAGGGGAUCUUCGCACCUUGCGCGUUUGAAUGAGCCGAUGUCGCAUUAGCUAGUUGGCGGGGUAAAGGCCCACCAAGGCGACGAUACGUAGCUGGUCUGAGAGGAUGAUCAGCCACACUGGAACUGAGACACGGUCCAGACUCCUACGGGAGGCAGCAGUGGGGAAUAUUGGACAAUGGGCGCAAGCCUGAUCCAGCCAUACCGCGUGGGUGAAGAAGGCCUUCGGGUUGUAAAGCCCUUUUAUUGGGAAAGAAAAGCAGCAGGUUAAUACCCCGCUGUUCUGACGGUACCCAAAGAAUAAGCACCGGCUAACUUCGUG